GAUGAACGCUGGCGGCGUGCCUAAUACAUGCAAGUCGAGCGAACAGACGAGGAGCUUGCUCCUCUGACGUUAGCGGCGGACGGGUGAGUAACACGUGGAUAACCUACCUAUAAGACUGGGAUAACUUCGGGAAACCGGAGCUAAUACCGGAUAAUAUAUUGAACCGCAUGGUUCAAUAGUGAAAGACGGUCUUGCUGUCACUUAUAGAUGGAUCCGCGCCGCAUUAGCUAGUUGGUAAGGUAACGGCUUACCAAGGCAACGAUGCAUAGCCGACCUGAGAGGGUGAUCGGCCACACUGGAACUGAGACACGGUCCAGACUCCUACGGGAGGCAGCAGUAGGGAAUCUUCCGCAAAGGGCGAAAGCCUGACGGAGCAACGCCGCGUGAGUGAUGAAGGUCUUCGGAUCGUAAAACUCUGUUAUUAGGGAAGAACAAAUGUGUAAGUAACUAUGCACGUCUUGACGGUACCUAAUCAGAAAGCCACGGCUAACUACGUG
rnacentral:rRNA from 1 species